rnacentral:rRNA from 1 species
GCACAGAGUUAGCCGGUGCUUAUUCUGUCGGUAACGUCAAAACACUAACGUAUUAGGUUAAUGCCCUUCCUCCCAACUUAAAGUGCUUUACAAUCCGAAGACCUUCUUCACACACGCGGCAUGGCUGGAUCAGGCUUUCGCCCAUUGUCCAAUAUUCCCCA